rfam:Schistosoma rodhaini strain Burundi genome assembly, scaffold: SROB_scaffold0000238
GUACUGCCGAGGAGUCCCAUAAUAGGACGAAACGGCAGUCACAGUGC